GGAUGAAGAACGUAGCGAAAUGCGAUAACUAAUGUGAAUUGCAGAAUUCAGUGAAUCAUCGAGUCUUUGAACGCACAUUGCGCCCCCUGGUAUUCCGGGGGGCAUGCCUGUCCGAGCGUCAUUGCUGCCCUCAAGCACGGCUUGUGUGUUGGGCUCCGUCCCCCCGGGGACGGGCCCGAAAGGCAGCGGCGGCACCGAGUCCGGUCCUCGAGCGUAUGGGGCUUUGUCACCCGCUCUGUAGGCCCGGCCGGCGCCAGCCGACAACCCAUCAUCCUUUUCAGGUUGACCUCGGAUCAGGUAGGGAUACCCGCUGAACUUAAGCAUAUCAAUAGCGGAGGA
rnacentral:misc_RNA from 1 species